AGUGAACGCUGGCGGUAGGCCUAACACAUGCAAGUCGAACGGCAGCACAGUAAGAGCUUGCUCUUACGGGUGGCGAGUGGCGGACGGGUGAGGAAUACAUCGGAAUCUACUUUUUCGUGGGGGAUAACGUAGGGAAACUUACGCUAAUACCGCAUACGACCUACGGGUGAAAGCGGGGGAUCUUCGGACCUUGCGCGAUUGAAUGAGCCGAUGUCGGAUUAGCUAGUUGGCGGGGUAAAGGCCCACCAAGGCGACGAUCCGUAGCUGGUCUGAGAGGAUGAUCAGCCACACUGGAACUGAGACACGGUCCAGACUCCUACGGGAGGCAGCAGUGGGGAAUAUUGGACAAAGGGCGCAAGCCUGAUCCAGCCAUACCGCGUGGGUGAAGAAGGCCUUCGGGUUGUAAAGCCCUUUUGUCGGGAAAGAAAAGCAGCAGGUUAAUACCCCGCUGUUCUGACGGUACCCAAAGAAUAAGCACCGGCUAACUUCGUG
rnacentral:rRNA from 1 species